rnacentral:lncRNA from 1 species
GCAGGGCAGCCCCGGGGAGCGAGGCGCGGACGGCUUUCCCGGGUCGCCGGGCCCGAAGGGCACUCCAGGAGAACCCGGGAUUCAGGGGUUGCCGGGAAUCAUGGGAAUGCCAGGAUUUAAAGGACAUAAGGGCGAGACGGGAGCUCCGGGUUCGAAGGGAAAUAAGGUAUCACCUCCGAAGGAUUCCCUUGUUAAUCCAUCAGAUCGGAUCGCUCUCGUGCGUCCUUGGAUUCGACAGGAGUCAUAACAACACGUGUAGCGCAACACGGGCCCGAUACAAG